rnacentral:rRNA from 1 species
CCUACGGUGGGCAGCAGUGGGGAAUAUUUGGCAAUGGAGGCAACUCUUACCCAGCAAUGCCGCGUGAAUGAAGAAGGUCUUCGGAUUGUAAAGUUCUUUAAUUGGGGACGAAAAAAAUGACGGUACCCAAGUCAUAAGCCCCGGCUAACUACGUGCCAGCAGCCGCGGUAAUACGUAGGGGUAAAGCGUUGUUCGGAAUGACUGGGCGUAAAGGGUGUGUAGGCGGUGUAGCAAGUUAGAAGUGAAAAACCUAGAGCUUAACUCAGGGGCUGCUUCUAAACCUGCUAUACGUGAGUGCAGUAGCGGAAAGUGGAAUUCCUAGUGUAGCGGUGGAAUGCGUAGAUAUUAGGAGGAACAUCAGUGGCGAAGGCGACUUGCUGGACUGUAACUGACGCUGAGGCACGAAAGUGUGGGGAGCAAACAGGAUUAGAUACCCCUGUAGUC